rnacentral:lncRNA from 1 species
AAUUUUGACAAUUUCUAAAGCUCUAAAGUGAAGGUUUUCAUCACUAGAUGCCAGAUUGUAACUGGAGAUUCAUGUAAUACUUCUUUAUUACUUCACUUAUGAUUCCUACUAUUAUGGCAACUAAUUUAUUUUUGGUUAGAGCUUAUUAGAUGAACCUGUGUGAAUAUGUUUGAUCAUAUGCUUGGGUCUUCGUACUAUUCAAUUAAGUUUGUGUUCAUUGUUUUAUAUAUGUU